GACAAAUUGUAAACAAAACAUGCAGCAGCAAUCAUUCAAACAUAAUGCUGAACUAAUGGACUGUGUUCUAUCUUAAACUGAUUAUUGGAAAGUGUAGGCGUCAUCUAGAUAAGCAAAAAUGAUAGAACUUUGAGCAGACAAAUCUGUCAAUUUGAACUUUGGAUUUGAUUCGGAUUCUUUAUUUUUUAAGAGUCAGCAUUACAUGGCACUUAUUCGUAAUAUUAUUGACAUUGCAAUUAUGCUUCUUGAUUACUUUUACUUAUCUCCAAACAUUUUUGUAUCAAAACAAUGUAAUUUUCUAUGAGUAUCUAUUUACAGUUUAUACUAGGAAUCUUGACUAUUAAAUUUCACACAUCUGGUCUAUAU